rnacentral:rRNA from 1 species
UACGUAGGGGGCAAGCGUUGUCCGGAUUCAUUGGGCGUAAAGAGCGUGUAGGCGGCCAGGUAGGUCGGUUGUGAAAACUGGAGGCUCAACCUUCAGAGGUCGAACCGAAACCAUCUGGCUAGAGUCCGGGAGAGGAGAGUGGAAUUCCUGGUGUAGCGGUGAAAUGCGCAGAUAUCAGGAAGAACACCCGUGGCGAAAGCGGCUCUCUGGAACGGUACUGACGCUGAGGCACGAAAGCGUGGGGAGCAAACAGG